AAGCCCGCCCUUGGUUGCGCUCAUUGGCUGCUCGGCUCUGCGCUUGGCAAGCUCGAGUCAUCCUCUGGGGUGUCAAUCACAAGAGCUCCAAGGGUGGGAUUCCAGACGCCCGCCGUCUGCUCUCUUCCUGCGGCGGCGAGGCCCCGGCCGCCCUCCUCUGCCUCGCGUGCCUGGUCUCCCUGGCGGGGCUUGAGGUGGCGGCUUCGCUUGUGGCAGGCAGCCGCCGUGGGAAGGGAAGCCCAAGGCUACCCCGCCGCCCCCAGCCAGUAUCCCACCAGUUUGGGUUUCCCAGUCUGAUGUUCUCCAGGUACAAUAUAUUGGGACUAUAACUUUCAGAAUUUAGACAUCCUGCUGCUACCCAUGAAGAUAAUCACUUGACCAGGGAGAGACUCUGGUUCUAGGUUGAAAAGUUGCAGAGAUGGCCAGAUAAAAAUGAAGAUACAGGAAGAAAUGGUGCUGCUUCUUACUUGCAGGUGUGCAGUUCACAAUGGGUCAGAUCUGGGAGAAUCCUCCAGCAGAUAGAAGGUCACAGGCUUUUUUAUCCUGCAAAGGUUUUCCUCUGACCUCUGCCCAGGAGAGAAAAUGAAUGUUGUCUAUUCUGCCUCUAAUCUCCUGAUCAGAGUUCUGGAGAACUGCAGAAGAAAGGGGCCUGAGACUCUAGGGAAAGGGGAAGAUUCAGUAUCAUCUCACCUCUUUUGACAUAACUGUUCUCAAUGGAAGUACAUUCAGAGGGGCUUAUAUUGGCAAAAUAUGAAUUCUCAAUCCAUCCCCGUAUCUUUAACGUACUGUGUUUGUUUACUCAACCAUGAAAUCACCUUUUCUCCCUGCCCCUCCCUCCCUCCCUCCCUCCCUCCCUUGCCAUUCUAGUCCCACCUUUUUAUUGUACUGGACAAUAAUUCUGGAUUCAGUGGCUUCUUGUAAUUUCUAAAAACUAACCAGUAUGCUAUCCCAGACAUUGGUGAACUACAGCUCCCAGCACCUCUAGCCAACAUGAUCUUUGUGAUGGAUGCUGGAUGCAGCAACUUUGAGGCCUACAAGCUCCCAAUUUAAGCCCUUCCAAAUAUAGGCAGCAGUUAUGUCUCAGUCAUCAAAGCAGUUUGUUGCAUAUGUGAACUGAGUUUUCAUGAAGAACUGCAAGAUAUUUUCACCUGAUUUGUAAUGUUGUAGCACUGUUUUUUGUUAUAGUAAUGAGUGGAUUCCUUCCUCCUUUCCAUGCUAUUUUAAACCCUCAAAAAAGCGGUUCAGCAGAUGAGGAUAGGCAACCUGCAGCAGUCAUGUCAAAAAGCAAUAAAAUUCUAUAAACAGCA